rnacentral:lncRNA from 1 species
UUUUUUCAAUUUUUGGCACCUUUAAAAAUAAACCAAACCGUCUCUCUUAUUUAUUAUUCUCCUAAAUUAGUACUUAUUUUCACAUUCAAAAUUUUUGAAUUUCACCUGCAGUCUUUUCAGCCCCUCACGUAUACUACUAUUUUUAUUAGAAGGUUCAUCUUUUUUCUGAUCCUUACCCCUAUCAACUUUAAACAAACCGCCUCCUCUCUAGCUUCUCCGCCUCGCCUCAAAAAUAAGCUAUGAUUAUAUAUGAUAUUUUCAUUUUGUAUGAUAAAUUCAGCUCUAAAAAUAAGAGUUUUAUGAGCAUAAGUUUAAAGUCAUUAUUUUUUACUUUAAAAAGGUAAGUUGUGCACAUAAGCGAUUUGCAAAGGAUGCAUUUAUUAUCACCAUGCGUGAUACAUCUUGCGAGAUGAAAAAUGGUGGAGAACAUGUCUUACUCCCAGAAGAGAUGGAAGAAGCUAGGGCACAUGUUAUUGAAAGAGGCCAUAGCAGCGGCUCGGUGGAGCACCCACCGGCGUCGGGUACCUUCUACAGAUUCAUUGUCUACGCGCCUAGUAGUCUGCGUAGAUACCACGAUCAAUAUCCACCUCCUGACCAGCAUUACCAGGUCUACCAUCAGCAGGCGGCCAAGUAGAACAUGGCCGACCAUGAAGAGAACAAAUAUAUACGCAACACAUCCACACCCGGUUUCUAUCAUGAGCACCAUAUAUAAAUCAGUCUGUACAGCCAAAACGGCAACCGACCUAAAGUAGCAAAAAGAAAAAUUCCAUGCGACUCUGCUGACAACAAUGAAAUAACAUAUGCGACAUGUCAACCAUAAUCCACCACGCGGCAACACCAUUAUUAACCCACACAUGCGACCGUCAAAAAAGGAAACAAAACAGAUGGUAAAAAAUAGAGAAAAUAUCUCAUUGUACGGAUAAGACAUAAAAAAUAUAUUAGAAGAGAUAAAAGAAAAUAAGCCACACACAUAAAACGACCAAAGGAGAAAUAUCUCAAUCCAUAGAAAAAAUAAUAUACUCCGUAUAAUUCAAAAAGGGCAACCGAAAUCACAUGCACGUAGUCACACCGGCCGCCAUGCAGUGAUGCAUGUAAUCAUAUCCCUCCGAAAUUAGCGCCCGUGAUUGCAUGCACCUAUUAGUGGUCAAACCGGAAACAAGACAGAUACUACCACGCAGCAAAAGGCAGUUUGAUCUAACAAAACAAAUCCGAGGAUAAAUCGCCGGGUCCACCCAAUUGCAAUUCCGUAAAAUUCGGUGGUAAAUCCAAGGAAACCUCAAAUAGAAAAAUAAGAAAAAGGAAUCCUUUGCGGGGUAGUGAUGUUAUUAUACUAACACAUAAAGAAAUAAACUAUUUGGGACCGUGCUUGUCGGUGUAUCCGUGUAUGUAUGUCAUGCCCAACUUUGGAUUCUGUUCAAAUAAACACAUUGGGUCGUCAGUCUAAAGCGCAUCAAUCCAGAAUCCAACCAUUCCGAUUAUACAGAUACAAAAUUCGUACUUCAGCCAGAGAGCAUCUCAUGGUGCUUCAUCUGCACGUACAAAUGCUUCCGGCUGUACUGGUUAGUGCCUUGUGAAAGCAUGUGAACUUUUAUAUUAAAGAGAACAACUUAACAUGUACUAUUAAAUUUUCAAGUGCUCACUUAUGUGGAUAGAUCUCCCGUUCGCAUAGGGAUGUCAACAUUGAAAGCGUGGGAUCAUCGCUCGUCCAUUGUAAUAGUAGUUCUGCCCCCACGCCCAAGUACAGUAAACAGGCCCAGCCACCGUACCGUCAGCGCUGCGCCAACUCUCACAUGGACGAACAGGAGCUUUCCCUGCCAUGCAAGUUGCAGCAAACCACGGUGCCCAGGCACGUACGUACUCUUGAGGCCAUCCAUGGAACGUGCCAAGUAAACCAACCUGCAAGUGCAACCGCUGGUGAUACUCGUCACAUAAUGCACUUCACACUUGGAGACACCGGGCCGAAGGGGAAGACCGUGCCACCCGCGUCCACACGCACCUCGACGCCGGAGUCUGCGCGCUCAAGGCAUGCAUAGUCAGCCUCCGCCGCGGACGGGUAUUCGGAGCUAACGCACGUGGAGGACGCCCUAGCCGCACUCGGCGAGUUCCUUGAAUUAUCACCUGCGAACGGUCCACCGUCACGUACAGCUCGUUCGAGCAAGCGCUAAUCGCGCUCGAGCAGAGCGUCGCGGAGCUGCGGGCGGGGGCGUUCAGUUGGGGACGGCACGAUGGUUGCCACCUUGCUUCGGGCACCCAGUCGAUCAGAGAAGGUCAAAAGGAGCAAUGCGGCCUUGCUGUGACAAUGCAACACAUGCCGGGGAAGGUGUUGUCACCGGCGCGAUGGCUUUGGAGGCGGAGCCACAUGAAAAAAAUCGAGAAGCGGCCACCGGCACCACAGGACCUCCGACUCCGGUAACCGUUGUAUAAGUGACACGGAACGGCAGGACGCCGUCCGCCUGGGAGGUCGCGAGCUCGAGGCGGCAGGUUUUCGAAGGCUCCGGCGCGGUCCUCUGCGGCAGGCAGGUCCUCUGUGGCCAGUGCUGCGGUGAAACAGAAGCGAAUCCCACUAUUUAUACACCUUCCGCUCAUCUAGAAAGAACGAUUCAAGCGGCGAUCAAGAAGCAUCGAAUUAAGCGGCAGGAUGUCGGCAUGAACACGUGGCCAGAACAACGACCAAAGCGGCAAGCGAGUACCAGAACCAUCGAGUUAAGCGGCGUUCAAGGGACGAGACUUGCCUGCUCUCUUCCCGUGCUCCCAUCCGUGCUCCCGUGUACGUGCCUUGAUUUGAUUGGAAGAAAAUAAGGCCCGGCCCCAUCCCCUGAAAAUCAGGGGGGAAGAUGAUUAGAUUAAAAAAGAAAAGGAGAAAAUGCCAGCCGUAGAAUAAAGUGGGAGCACGGAUGAGAGCAUGGAAAGGGAGCAGGCAAGCCGGAUCCGCGUUCAAGACCCGAAUUUAGGCAACCAGCAUGCCGCAUAUGCAUGUAAACCGCAACAACCAGAACCACCACAUGCAAAAAAUAACACGGACACGCGUCUACAGAGGCAAAAAUCAAGCAGCAUACAACCGAGCGGGAGACAAACACGGAGGUGGAAAAAAAAACAGCCAGCCCACAACAUCUGUACGCAGUUGGUAGUCUCGCUUCCAGGUUUUUUUCGUCCCAUCUCCCACGGUUUAUUUUCGCUCUAAAAAAAUCUACGAACUUUCGCAGGUUAACCAGGGACAACUCCCACCUCCCAGAUUUUUUUUCGUCCCACCUCUCAUGGUUUCUUUGGUACCUCGUCCCACCUCACACUAAGCCGCCACGAACCGCAAAAACCGCCUACCUUAGCCAAAUCAACAAAUCUCUCUCAUUAAUGCAAUUUUUUUAGGAAACAAAUAAUAGAUUCUUUCCUACCUUAGCCAAAUCAACGGAUCUCUCCCAUUAAUGCAAUUUGCUUUAGUAAACAAAUAAUAGAUUCUUUCCUACCUUAGCCAAAUCAACGGAUCUCUCUCAUUAAUGCAAUUUGCUUUAGGAAACAAAUAAUAGAUUUUCAGGAAACAAAUAAUCUCUAAUAUCUAAUCUCUAAUCUCUAUCUCCAAUCUCUAUCUCUGAUCUCUAAUCCCUAAUCUCUAAUCUCUAAUCUCUAAUCUCUAAUAAUAAUAAUAAUCUCUAUCUCUACUCCUAAUGGACAAGUUGGUUGAAUAGUCCGGUUUAUUUUCGUCUCACAUCCCACCACCAUAUCUACUCACGUUAAUUUUUUUUACCCUCACAAUAAAAAGUUUCCUAACCUUUCCAAAGUUUCCUAACUAGACACGUUAUAAACGGGCAGGAACUGAUAGCACGUUACCAAUCAAUAAAAUUUAGUUUCAUGACAAUCAAUUCCAAAUCCUAAUUUUCCUAAUACGUCGAUCUUUCUCAAAUCCUAAUAAGCCCUCUUCCUCUUUCCUUUUUCACCGCUCCACCUAGAAAAAAAGACCCAUCAAUCACGCAACCCCUCCCUGCCUCUCCCCAACUCCCCAAGCGACAUCCUCUCUCCCCUCCCUGCCGUCCCCCAAGACGCCCUCGUGGGCGCACUCUUCAUCGGAGCGCCGUCCGCUGGAAGCCGGAGUCGGGUUGGAGAGCAGCCACCAGCGGGGGAGACCACAAGGGGAGGUGUUGGUUCUUCCUCCGAUUGAUGCAUCCGCUCGUGGGGGCAUUGCUGGUGGGGGGCGAGGAGCGAUGUUGGUGGCCAUGCUGGGGCCCGGCGGCGUGGGCGGGCGCGCUGGAACUGGUUGUGUCGAUGGCGUCGUUACCGCCGGAGACCACAUUCGUGUGGGCGCUGGCCAGCGCCGGGUGCGUGGCCGGGUAGGUGCGCGUGCCUCUCGACGGUCUGCUCGACCCGGCCGGGUCGGCAGCUGUACGGCUUCGAUGUGCUGCGCACUGCAAAGGGCUUCCGUCGCUCGAUGAGGUCAUCCAGCAGUAAGGGGAAAACCCCCCUUCGAUCCCUAACACUACCCCACCACAAUAAUCCAUUGCUAAAUUUUCUAUGACUGUUUGGUUAAAUUUGCAGGUCGGACAAGCUCGUUGGCCACAUUGGGUAGCUGCCACCCUCUGCUGAGAUUGUUCACACCAUGGAUGAGUUCUCCAACACUGUAAGCUACUCUUCUUUGGUUACGUUUUAUUUAAUCUGUGUAGAUUGAUGUGGGUUGGCUGAUGAUUGGCUAGGUUUGCUCGGUCAUUGAUUCGGCGGAGCUAUGCAGGGACACGCACUCAGAUAGGUGAUUGGAUGACGUCUGCUUGCUUCUUGUGUAAUAAUUUGGAAGCUCUGAAGCAAAGUGCUUUCAGUUUUCUUUUACUGAAUAUAAAUAUGUAUGUGAACUAGGGAGUUUACGGAGGAAGCAGAUAAGGCAUUAAUGACGAAUUAUGAGCAUCUUCAAGUAAGGUCUAUAACAUAAAUGGCAUCUGUGAAAAGGGAGAGAGCAGAGUGAAAUGACGGGUAGUUUCGUGUUGGACAUCACAGCGAGCCGGCCUGGCACCGGUAACACACUCGGGCAUGGCCCGGAGUUGCAACUCGUCCAUGGUGCCCAUGACGCCCAACUCCCACUCAUGGGUGUACGACCGGAUGCGCUUGUUCACCAGGCUGACGCACCUUUUUUCAAUUUUUGGCACCUUCAAAAAUAAACCGCCUCCUCUCUAGCUUCUCGCACAAACCGUCUCUCUUAUUUAUUAUUCUCCUAAAUUAGUACUUACUUUCAGAUUCAAAAUUUUUGAAUUUCACGUGCAGUCUUUUCAGCCCCUCACGUAUACUACUAUUUUUAUUAGAAGAUCCAUCUUUUUUCUGAUCCUUACCCCUAUCAACUUUAAAUAAACCGCCUCCU